UAAAAAAGCGGGGAGAUGACCGGGGGCCCUGGCUGGCCGCUCCCCCUCCCCGGGUCCACUGAUCCGGCGGGGCCUUUCCCUCUGUGGACCCCCAUGGCCUCCACUGGCGGUGGCGGGAAAACAGGAUCUUUAUUUUAAAAAAAUCAGAGUGCUCCGGGCCGGCUUAUUCUAAAAUACAUUAGCAUGGAAUAAUAGAAUAGGACGUGUGGUUUUUUUUUGUUGGUUUCUAGGACCGCCGUAAUGAUUAAUAGGGACAGUCGGGGGCAUCAGUAUUCAAUUGUCAGAGGUGAAAUUCUUGGAUCUAUUGAAGACUAACUACUGCGAAAGCAUUUGCCAAGGAUGUUUUCAUUGAUAAGGAACGAAAGUUAGGGGAUCGAAGACGAUCAGAUACCGUCGUAGUCUUAACUAUAAACUAUGCCGACUAGGGAUCGGACGAUGUUAUUCUUUGAC
rnacentral:rRNA from 1 species